GACGAACGCUGGCGGCGUGCUUAACACAUGCAAGUCGAACGGAAAGGCCCUGCUUUUGUGGGGUGCUCGAGUGGCGAACGGGUGAGUAACACGUGAGUAACCUGCCCUUGACUUUGGGAUAACUUCAGGAAACUGGGGCUAAUACCGGAUAGGAGCUCCUGCUGCAUGGUGGGGGUUGGAAAGUUUCGGCGGUUGGGGAUGGACUCGCGGCUUAUCAGCUUGUUGGUGGGGUAGUGGCUUACCAAGGCUUUGACGGGUAGCCGGCCUGAGAGGGUGACCGGCCACAUUGGGACUGAGAUACGGCCCAGACGCAUACGGGAGGCAGCAGGGGGGAAUAUUGCACAAGGGGCGGAAGCCGGAUGCAGCAACGCCGCGUGCGGGAUGACGGCCUUCGGGUUGUAAACCGAUUUCGCCUGUGACGAAGCGUGAGUGACGGGAAUGGGGAAAGAAGCACCGGCUAACUACGU
rnacentral:rRNA from 1 species